GAUACAUGCUGCGAUUCUUUAUAUUUCUACUCUCACUCGCUCCUUUCGUGUUCACGAAGGCGACAGGAAGUUGCCAAGGCACUGAAUGUCCGCCAAAGACUUGGCACAAUGUAGGAUGCUCUACUGACGACGACUGCGAUGCGCCCUACGUCACGUGCUACAAACGUGUCUGUAGGUGUGAACCCGGGUAUUUCUACACCACACAGGACACGUGGUACUAACACUUGUAGCCCAGACGACAUGCAGGACAGCUUCACAGACUAUCCUGACAGCGCUCUACGUGCAAACCUCAUUGGUAGCCCGGAUGGACUCACUGUGGAAGCCUGCAAGGACAGGUGCCAGACUGACAAGCGUUGCCUCACCUUUGAUUUCAAAGUCAGUGGAGGUCUGUGUCGGCUUCAUAAUGUCACCGCUCAUCAGUCUCCUCUAACUGGU